UAGGGAAUCUUCCACAAUGGACGCAAGUCUGAUGGAGCAACGCCGCGUGAGUGAAGAAGGUUUUCGGAUCGUAAAGCUCUGUUGUUGGUGAAGUAGGAUAGAGGCAGUAACUGGUCUUUAUUUGACGGUAAUCAACCAGAAAGUCACGGCUAACUACGUGCCAGCAGCCGCGGUAAUACGUAGGUGGCAAGCGUUGUCCGGAUUUAUUGGGCGUAAAGCGAGCGCAGGCGGAAUGAUAAGUCUGAUGUGAAAGCCCACGGCUCAACCGUGGAACUGCAUCGGAAACUGUCAUUCUUGAGUGCAGAAGAGGAGAGUGGAAUUCCAUGUGUAGCGGUGGAAUGCGUAGAUAUAUGGAAGAACACCAGUGGCGAAGGCGGCUCUCUGGUCUGCAACUGACGCUGAGGCUCGAAAGCAUGGGUAGCGAACAGG
rnacentral:rRNA from 1 species